AGAAAGGGAGAGACAGAGAGCAACAUCGACGUGAGAGAAACACAUCGAUUGGUUGCCUCCUGCUGGCGCCCUGACCAGGGCCCAGGCCAGGGAGGAGCCUGCAAUCAAGGCACGUGCCCUUGACUAGAGUUGAAUCCGGACCCAUUGGUCUGCAGGCCGAUGCUCUAUCCAUUGAGCAACACCAGCCAGGGCCAGGCACCAUGGCUAGCACCACAGCAGAACAAAGUCUGAAAGGGGAAGACAUUUGGGGUAAGAGGAACAGAGGAUGAAUGAACUCGUGAAUCUGUUGA